GUGUUUGUUGUAUUCUUUCACAGGUAGACAUCGGUGACGGUGUAUACGUUGAAAAGGGCAUGCUGAAGAGGCUGUGCCUGGAUGCUAACAACUCAGGCUUUCACUUCGCGGAGGGCCUCCUUAAAGCUCCUUUUUCAAUAGAAGACGUUGAAGGGAGGUCCUUCUUUGGGCGGCUGUCAAAUGCCUUCCACAGAAGGAUCCGUUGGAUUCCAAGAAGGUCAACACCAUAGUAGACUACACAACGCAACAUUUCAGCCUACUUCCAGGGCAGCUGGAGAACUCGUCCUCCUUACUAGCCCGGGGAUAUUAAAUGGAUGUGUUCAAGCACAAA